rfam:Candidatus Staskawiczbacteria bacterium RIFCSPHIGHO2_02_FTLL_34_10 rifcsphigho2_02_scaffold_1070, whole genome shotgun sequence.
CGAGGCAUAAUAUAGAGGCAGUACGCAUGGCUGGGGAUCAUGUAGCCUGAAUUCGAUUCUCAGUGCCCCGA